GAUGAACGCUGGCGGCGUGCCUAAUACAUGCAAGUCGAGCGAACAGAUGAGGAGCUUGCUCCUCUGACGUUAGCGGCGGACGGGUGAGUAACCCGUGGAUAACCUACCUAUAAGACUGGGAUAACUUCGGGAAACCGGAGCUAAUACCGGAUAAUAUAUUAAACCGCAUGGUUCAAUAGUGAAAGACGGUUUUGCUGUCACUUAUAGAUGGAUCCGCGCCGCAUUAGCUAGUUGGUAAGGUAACGGCUUACCAAGGCAACGAUGCGUAGCCGACCUGAGAGGGUGAUCGGCCACACUGGAACUGAGACACGGUCCAGACUCCUACGGGAGGCAGCAGUAGGGAAUCUUCCGCAAUGGGCGAAAGCCUGACGGAGCAACGCCGCGUGAGUGAUGAAGGUCUUCGGAUCGUAAAACUCUGUUAUUAGGGAAGAACAAAUGUGUAAGUAACUAUGCACGUCUUGACGGUACCUAAUCAGAAAGCCACGGCUAACUACGUG
rnacentral:rRNA from 1 species